AGAGUUUGAUCAUGCUCAGAUGACGCUAGCGCAGCUAAUACAUGCAGUCGACGAGAUCAGACUUCGUCCUGGUUUAGUGCGCACGGGUGCGUAACGCGUAUGCAACUACUUAAACUGGGGGAUAGCCCGGGGAAACCCGGGAUUAAUACCGCAUAAGAUCACACGAGGGCAUCUGAGAGUGAUUAAAGAUUUAUUGGUUUAAGAUGGGCAUGCGUGCCAUUAGCUAGUUGGUAGGGUAACGGCCUACCAAGGCUACGAUGGCUAGGGGUUCUGAGAGGAUGAUCCCCCACACUGGUACUGAGAUACGGACCAGACUCCUACGGGAGGCAGCAGUAGGGAAUAUUGGGCAAUGGACGGAAGUCUGACCCAGCCAUGCCGCGUGCAGGAUGAAGGCCUUCUGGGUUGUAAACUGCUUUUAUCUGGGAAGAAAACACCUAUGCGUAGGAAACUGACGGUACCAGAUGAAUAAGCACCGGCUAACUCCUUGCCAGCAGCCGCGGUGAUACGGAGGGUGCAAGCGUUGUCCGGAUUUAUUGGGUUUAAAGGGUGCGUAGGCGGCCCUGUAAGUCAGUGGUGAAAGCCUCCAGCUCAACUGGAGAACUGCCAUUGAUACUGCAGGGCUUGAGUACAGACGAGGUUGGCGGAAUUGAUUGUGUAGCGGUGAAAUGCAUAGAUACAAUCAAGAACUCCGAUUGCGUAGGCAGCUAACUAGGCUGUAACUGACGCUGAGGCACGAAAGCGUGGGGAGCGAACAGGAUUAGAUACCCUGGUAGUCCACGCCGUAAACGAUGAUUACUCGAUGUUGGCGAUACACAGUCAGCGUCUUAGCGAAAGCGUUAAGUAAUCCACCUGGGGAGUACGCCCGCAAGGGUGAAACUUAAAUGAAUUGACGG
rnacentral:rRNA from 1 species